GGACUACAGGGGUUUCUAAUCCUGUUUGCUCCCCUAGCUUUCGCACCUCAGCGUCAGGAACGCGCCAGUCACUCGCUUUCGCCUCCGGCGUUCCUCCUGAUAUCUACGCAUUUCACCGCUUCACCAGGAGUUCCAGUGACCCCUCACGCCCUCGAGCCCGGUAUUUUCGGCCGCCGUUCCGACGGUAAGCGUCGGGAUUCCACGACCGAUUUGCCGAGCCGCCUACGUGCCCUUUACGCCCAGUGAAUCCGAACAACGUUUGCACUCUCCGUAUUACCGCGGCUGCUGGCAC
rnacentral:rRNA from 2 species